UUGACAGAUACAAUAUCAACUGCUGAGAUUGAUACUUCGAUUAAAUGGCAUUUCCUUUCCUGACUUGGCUGUCCUUGACAACAAUAUCUAGUGGAUUAGCCUCAAUUUCCAUGUCUGUGUGGAUUGGCACAUCCAAGAAUAUCAUCAGAAAAAGGUAAUCAAAAUUCAUUAAAAUGACAGAUUUGUCGGACUUUCAAAGAGGUCAAAUUGUUGGUGCUCAUAUGGCAGGCGUUAGCAUAACGAAAAUAGCUGAAAUGUUCGGUGUAUUGAGAAGUACUGUCUUGAAAGUAAUGACAGCCUUUGAGGAAGAGGGAAAAAACCCCUAACUGAAACAAAACUCUGGAAGAAAACCAAAACUAGGAACCGUCGGAUUCUUACGCGAAUUGUUAAGAAGGAUCACAAAAGUACAGCUCCCAAAAUUACUGCAGAGCUUAAUGACCACCUCGAGAACCCAGUUUCCACAAAAAUUGUUCACUGGGAGCUGCAGAAAGCAGGAUUUCACUGGAGGGCUGCAAU